GUAGGGAAUAUUGGGCAAUGGAGGCAACUCUGACCCAGCCAUGCCGCGUGCAGGAUGACGGCCCUCUGGGUUGUAAACUGCUUUUAUACGGGAAGAAAAAAUACUACGUGUAGUAUACUGACGGUACCGUAAGAAUAAGGAUCGGCUAACUCCGUGCCAGCAGCCGCGGUAAUACGGAGGAUCCAAGCGUUGUCCGGAUUUAUUGGGUUUAAAGGGUGCGUAGGCGGAUCUUUAAGUCAGUGGUGAAAGCCUGCAGCUUAACUGUAGAAUUGCCAUUGAAACUGAAGAUCUUGAAUGUGGUUAAAGUAGGCGGAAUGUAUCAUGUAGCGGUGAAAUGCUUAGAUAUGAUACAGAACACCGAUAGCGAAGGCAGCUUGCUGAACCAUUAUUGACGCUGAGGCACGAAAGCGUGGGGAGCGAACAGGAUUAGAAACCCGUGUAGUCC
rnacentral:rRNA from 1 species